UGGGGAAUUUUGGACAAUGGGCGCAAGCCUGAUCCAGCCAUGCCGCGUGCGGGAAGAAGGCCUUCGGGUUGUAAACCGCUUUUGUCAGGGAAGAAAUCCUUUGAGCUAAUACCUCGGGGGGGUGACGGUACCUGAAGAAUAAGCACCGGCUAACUACGUGCCAGCAGCCGCGGUAAUACGUAGGGUGCAAGCGUUAAUCGGAAUUACUGGGCGUAAAGCGCACGCAGGCGGUUUGUUAAGUCAGAUGUGAAAUCCCCGCGCUUAACGUGGGAACUGCAUUUGAAACUGGCAAGCUAGAGUCUUGUAGAGGGGGGUAGAAUUCCGCGUGUAGCAGUGAAAUGCGUAGAGAUGCGGAGGAACACCGAUGGCGAAGGCAAUCCCCUGGGCCUGCACUGACGCUCAUGCACGAAAGCGUGGGGAGCAAACA
rnacentral:rRNA from 1 species